AGCGAGAUGGAGGUACUUGGAAAAGUCAGGCUCCUAAUCUGAGGAUUGUAGGUUCGAGCCCUACUCCCGCUU
rnacentral:tRNA from 1 species